rnacentral:rRNA from 1 species
AUGCAGCUGCAACCAUUCAGCAACAAAAUGAAUGUACUUCAGGGAGCAAGCAUGUCAGAACCUGACCCACAAAACGUCGAGUUUCUUCAGUUAGCUGUAUCAGUUCUGAAAACGGUUUGUGGAAUCGGAUGGCCAUCAGCGCUCGGGUUAAACCUCGCUCGACGGCUUGAGAUUGCUCAAGACACAAGAACUAUAGUGGGGCGUUUUGGAGCUCGGCCUCCAUGGAGGCCGAAAUGUUUGAAAAAUUCAAAAUUCAAACAUUCUAGUUUCAAAAAAGUCGUACAAGUAUGCAAGGAUGUGAUGUGUAUGUGUGUAAAAUUUCAGGAUGAAAUACCUUGA